rnacentral:lncRNA from 1 species
AAGUGAGGGUGAGACUCAACCCAUUCUUAUCUUAGUAUUUUUUUUCCAGUUAUCCCAAUAUCUACUCAUGCCUUACGUUUCAGUCCAAUGAUCAAAAUUCAUGUUCAUGCUUAUGAUAGAGAAUCAUGUACUCUUCAAGUUCUAAAAUGAGAAGUUUCAGUUCAUUCAGUAGUCGGAAUCCCACUCCAUAAGUUAUGAACUCUAAAUUGAGGUCAUGUAGCUCAUGACUCAUGUACUCACGCUUUAUAGUAUGCUU